CAUACAUUUUCAGGAAAGUAACAGUCAAGCAAUCAUAGACAGGAAACAAUUCUUUAGUGGCUCCUCUUUAUUUUCUAAAGAAGUUAGAAAAGCAUUUUGACACCUUUGUAUUAAAUGUUUCUAAUGUAAGACAAUACACUAAUUUCAGUUUCAGCCUCUGCUUGAAAUGUGAUGUUCAAAUGUUUAAAAUGGGUAUAACUGAAAUAAUUAUAAUGUAAUAAGCCUACGAUUAAUAAUUUAUUUGCUGUUAAAAUGUAAUAACAUUUUAAAUGUUAUUUUAAUGGAAACUAAUAUCAAGUAACUGAUCAAAAGUUGUUUGGUUGCUCAUUCAUAGUGGGCAGUGCCGUUUGGUUUUGGUUUGGCUCAUUGAUGCCGCAUCCUGUGUUUUGUAGGCUGGUAACAGUUUCAUUUAGUGUUAGAUAAGCACAGAGGCAUUUGGAUGAUGGACCAGUCAAUCACUUUUUAUUUACAAUGUUCAAAUUUGUAAUGGUGAUCUUGGGACCAAACAUAAUGGAAGAACCUUUAGAAGACCCUUGAAGACCAACUGAAGGAUUGAAGGGUUGGACUGUGACUGGAAAUGACAGACACAGAAGACGGGUCACAGAUAAGUUUUAUUAAAUUAAACACAGCUUUUAUGAUUAUGUAUUCAUUUAUUUAUGAUACCUGUAAUAGGCAUGUAAUAAAUGUGUUGUUACAAUACUAGACAAUAUUAGUUGUUUCAAUAAAGGUUUGUGGCUCCUAAUGAUUAUAUCAAGGAAUAAUUGUCAUAUAUACAUUAAUUUAAAAAUUAAACAAUAUUUGUACAGAAAUAAUGAUUAUUAUUUUUAAUUUGCUAAUCCUAUAUUUUUUUAUCAGUAUAGAUUUUUUAUUGCUAUUUGGAGGACCUUCGUUAGACGGCGCACUUUCUUGGUUUCUUCGAUUUAUGAAACCACAAUUGUUAUGGGUUCGAAAUUGAGUCAUCCCCAUCAACCCAAAGAGGGUCAAAUGAAGACCCCUAUCCAGAGUGUGGAAAACCCUAAAGGAUAUGGUGGUGUGAUAAUAUGUGAUAAGGAGACAUUCAUCAUUAACAGUCCACACUUGGUGGCAGUUCCUGAUAAUAGAGCCUUGAUUAGGGGGAAAAGUUCUGUCAGACCUGUUCUGUUUAAUGGCAAGUGAUGACAAGAAGACAAAUGGCUUCCAAGACAUCCAAGAUCUGCUCCCAUUAUACUUAAAAUAAAGCCAUUUCAUUUUCA